UUUAAGUCUUAUAGGUUACCUAAAGUGACCUUCCCAGUGACUGAAGAGUCAGGUUGGAACCCAAAGCCACCCUGCCCUCAACGCCAUGCUUGUCUUAUUAACUAUGUUCCCACUCCCCUUUUCUGAAAAGAGAGUGGAUUUGAUAGCUGGAGGCACAAUGGCUGGUCUUGACUCUCUUUUUCAAACAGAAACUCCUACCCAACUGACAUGCAUACUGUAAGCAUUCUGAAAUCUGCAAGAGGCUGGGGGUGCUGAGGAUUCCAUCUGUCCCUGAUACUGUAGGAUUUGGGGUUGCCUGUAACAGCCUUUCUUCAUGUACAGCAACCCCUAACCAAAGGCUGGCUGCUUGGAGAGAAUCUCACUGCUUUUGGUCGAGUGCCAUGGUGUCAUCAUAACUCACAGCAAGCUCAAACUCCUGGACUCAAGCCAUCCUCUUGCCUCAGCCUCCUGAGUAGCUGGGACUACACAUACCUGCCACAAGGCCUGGUACUAUGACUGUGCCCAUGUGUGCCUCAGGAAAGGUCAACUACAGUGAGGAUAAUGUCACAUGGUAUAAAUGUGACAUGGCCAAGAUCAGAACCCAAGACUGUGAUUCUAGAACUCACAGGCUGAACUCCUGGUUUGUAUACCCUCCUCCUCAAAUAGAAAUAGCAGGUUGGUGCAGUAUGGAAGUCAGGACUGUGCAUUUAAUGGUGGCUCUGCUCUAGACGCCUGUGUGAUGGUUGGUAAGUACGCAAAUUUCUUUCUUUUCUCUCUCUCUAUCUAUCUCUAUCUCUCCCUGUCCCUCUCCCUUUCUCC